ensembl:lincRNA Gm29455 predicted gene 29455
GGAGAAAGCAGAACGCCCGGCAAAUGACAGCUGCUGGCCCCAGACAGGGCCAGAGAGAGGAGUUUUACAAGGUGCCACCUCAGAAAGGCACCUGUCAAUCCAAGCCUGCAGUGGCCAGAGGGGUGGCAGGGCAAGGGCAGUCCAGGAUACAGUGAAUGGGACUGCCUACAGUGAAGAUGAGCAGAGAACCGUCCCACAUUAGCUAAUACAUCAAGACUGUCCCUCACAGGCAUGACCAAAGGCUUGUCCUCCAGUGACUCUGACUUGUGUCAAGAUGACAAAUCAGCAGCAGCAGCAGCAUCACCUAACCAGGACAUCCACACCGACCCACUGCUCCUCUUUAAAGGCCACCUGUACUUCACUGGAGAGCUGUCAGCUAAGAGCUGUCCUGUGAGGGGUCUUACAGUCAGGGAUCCCUGAAGCACCAUCCCGAGCCCAGGAAAGAAAGUCCCUCAUUGCAGAUCUCUGACCCUGCUCCAGUCAUGGCAAGGUUGAGGGAGGCAGGUAGAGCAAGACGCCUCUCCAUCUUCAUAAGACCAAGGAGUGCCCUUCCAUGGCCAGUUGCCUAGUCAGGACUCAUCUGCUCCUCACCACAGCCUGUGACGUCGAUAGCCUGACUAUUGUCUAUACUCGACAGAUGGGGAAACUGAGGCCGACAUCAUCAUCAAUGUGGUAUUGAAGCUGACAGUAGCACUAAAACUUUCAAGACUCCAUAACAAACGUUCUACAUCAGAAUGAGAGAAUGUGGUGGCCCAUCUCGGGUAGAUAGGUACCCCUGGUGUCCCUGUGUCCCCAACAGGCAGAACAUUCCAGAGAAGGCUAAUGUGAUUGAUGACCAGGAAGGAGCAGAGCUAUCCUUCUAGAGAAGGCUCAGAAUUUAGCCUAAGUGACAGUGUGGUCACUGACAAGCAGAACAAAGUUGGACAAGCAGCUUAGCAUUGAAUGUACAUGUGCACAGAGAGGGAGGGUGAGGGAGGGAGGGAGAGAGAGGGAGAGAGAGGGAGAGAGAGAGAGAGAGAGAGAGAGAGAACACAUGCACACGCAGCCCCCUCCACCGGCGCUCUCAAGUGCCCUGUGUGAGUGAGUGGGUGGAUAGUGGGAGCCGUGAAGCCGCUUCCCGGAGACAAUCUCUGCAGCUCACUCGGAGCCCCCUUCUUGGCUGGGUGUCAACCCCAGCCUUAUGCACAGGCAGCUGCCUCUAGGGAAUGAUUUAAAGGGCUCCAAGAAGCAGUCCACCCGUUGAAAAUGGCCCCCAUCCCUGGCCAGCAUGCUCACCUACCUGCCACGGGCCUUUCUAAAAGCGUGCUGAGAUCCUGAAGCCAAGGAGACUGCCCACAGUGGACUCCGAGUCCUGGCACUGCACCGAGGGACCCCCCCACAGCCUUCAUUGUGUCUGCCCAACACCCACUCUGCCUCCCCACCCCUCAACGGGUUCAAUCUGUAGCUCAGGAUCCUCUUGGUUAUAAUGGGGGAUCCCAGGCCCAGAGAGUGAUGAGGCCAUUCAGGCCUCUAGUGGGUAGGAGCAGAGUUUGUGCUCCCACCUAGGGACCUGGGCCACUUCACUUUGCCAUCAUAGUAUAAAGUCCAAAAAUCAGACCAUCCCAAGACUAGGCCAUCUGCAAAAACAGAGUGGAAACCCAGGUGUAGGGACUGAGGAGGAAGGGGGAGAUGAGGGAGACGAGGGGGGGAGUGGUGGGCACUCGCAUGAGGGUUGGGGGUCAGUCCUAAGGAAGUCUGUAGACGUCACAGUUCAGCCAUCUGAAGCUGACCUAGAAGCUGAGGUGCUCGUCUGCAGCUGGAGUCUCAUCACUUGGGAGGCUAAAGCAGGAGUCUCUCCAGUUAAAGCUCAGCCUGCACGGUGAGCCUGUCUCAAAACCAAAAACUCAGAAAAAAAAAAAAAAAAAGCAAAGCAGCAGGGGGGGGGGUGGCACCAGACAGGUACAAGGGACAUGGAGACAAGUGGGACUGGGGUGCAUGGGAAUCACAAAGAGCCAAUAAAAUGUUAAAACGAAUUAAGUAGUUAAUUAAAGAGAAGUGGAGGCAGGAGGAUCAGAAACUGACGGUCGUUCUUUAUACUUCGUAAGUUUGAGGUCAGCCUGAGCAACCGGUGACCCGGCCUUAACCUUCCUCUGGCUUUUCCCCUGAAGAAGAGGUUCUGGAAGGGAAAUGGGGAGCCGUGUUCUGGUUAAAGAACUCCGAGGCCUCUAGUGACUCUUCUCAGUGAAUACUUCUAAUCAUCAGGGUACUCCAUAAGGACAUCCAACCAGGGUCUCUAUUUUCAGAUAUUCUCUCUAUUCUCAUGAGGAAGUUGAAGCACAGAGCAGGUAAGUAACUUGAUCAAGGUCACACAGCUGGCAAAUAACAGAAUCUGGAUUCCCAGUCAAGUCCCUGACCCCAGAAAUCUUUUUUUCCCCACACUCUGGGUGGUGUGUGUGUGUGUGUGUGUGUGUGUGUGUGUGUGUGUGUGUGUGGUAUGUGUGUGUGUCUGUGUGUCUGUGUCUGUGGGCAAAGUGUCUCAGUAUACUCUGUCUUGAACUCUUGUACAUGGUCAAAGCCUUUUAAAAUAGGUUGCUGAAACCAAAUCAAAGAUCUCGUUCUCCUUUUAAAAUUUU